rnacentral:rRNA from 1 species
ACUCCUACGGGAGGCAGCAGUGGGGAAUAUUGCACAAUGGGCGCAAGCCUGAUGCAGCCAUGCCGCGUGUGUGAAGAAGGCCUUCGGGUUGUAAAGCACUUUCAGUUGUGAGGAAGGUGGUGUCGUUAAUAGCGGCAUCAUUUGACGUUAGCAACAGAAGAAGCACCGGCUAACUCCGUGCCAGCAGCCGCGGUAAUACGGAGGGUGCGAGCGUUAAUCGGAAUUACUGGGCGUAAAGCGCAUGCAGGUGGUUUGUUAAGUCAGAUGUGAAAGCCCGGGGCUCAACCUCGGAACUGCAUUUGAAACUGGCAGACUAGAGUACUGUAGAGGGGGGUAGAAUUUCAGGUGUAGCGGUGAAAUGCGUAGAGAUCUGAAGGAAUACCGGUGGCGAAGGCGGCCCCCUGGACAGAUACUGACACUCAGAUGCGAAAGCGUGGGGAGCAAACAGGAUUAGAUACCCUGGUAGCACA